AUUGAACGCUGGCGGCAUGCCUUACACAUGCAAGUCGAACGGCAGCACGGGAGCAAUCCUGGUGGCGAGUGGCGAACGGGUGAGUAAUAUAUCGGAACGUGCCCAGUCGUGGGGAUAACGUAGCGAAAGCUACGCUAAUACCGCAUACGAUCUACGGAUGAAAGCGGGGGAUCGCAAGACCUCGCGCGAUUGGAGCGGCCGAUAUCAGAUUAGGUAGUUGGUGAGGUAAAGGCUCACCAAGCCGACGAUCUGUAGCUGGUCUGAGAGGACGACCAGCCACACUGGGACUGAGACACGGCCCAGACUCCUACGGGAGGCAGCAGUGGGGAAUUUUGGGACAAUGGGCGCAAGCCUGAUCCAGCAAUGCCGCGUGCAGGAUGAAGGCCUUCGG
rnacentral:rRNA from 1 species